rnacentral:rRNA from 1 species
AGUGAACGCUGGCGGUAGGCCUAACACAUGCAAGUCGAACGGCAGCACAGUAAGAGCUUGCUCUUACGGGUGGCGCGUGGCGGACGGGUGAGGAAUACAUCGGAAUCUACUUUUUCGUGGGGGGUAACGUAGGGACACUUACGCUAAUACCGCAUACGACCUACGGGUGAAAGCAGGGGAUCUUCGGAACUUGCGCGAUUGAAUGAGCCGAUGUGGGAUUAGCUAGUUGGCGGGGUAAAGGCCCACCAAGGCGACGAUCCGUAGCUGGUCUGAGAGGAUGAUCAGCCACACUGGAACUGAGACACGGUCCAGACACCCACGGGAGGCAGGAGUGGGGAAUAUUGGACAAUGGCGCAAGCCUGAUCCAGCCAUACCGCGUGGGUGAAGAAGGCCUUCGGGUUGUAGAGCCCUUUUGUUGGGAAAGAAAAGCAGCAGGUUAAUACCCCGCUGUUCUGACGGUACCCAAAGAAUAAGCACCGGCUAACUUCGUG